GACGGUGGUGAGUAAAGAUCGUGUGUCUGACUGUUUGAUGGGACUUCUCAAUGUUAAUGUGACCAGCUGUGGGUGUCUCAUAAAGGCAUAAUUUCAGAGCAAUAACUGUGGUCUUAUCUGUUUAUAUAUUUACAGAAGUUUCGUGUUGUGUUGUGUCGCGUCGUGUCUGUGUGUGUGUGUGUGUGUGUGUGUGUGUGUGUGUGUGUGUGUGUGUGUGUGUAUCAUAUCUCUCCCUUCUCCAUUCAAAUUUAUGACAGCGGCAAGCAGUAAGGCCUGAAAUAAUAUCUUUCUCUAUGCUAAUGUGCCGUCAUAACACAUGCAAGAUAAUAAAGUUGAUGUGAGAGGAGAUGUGUAGCUGGAUUUAGGAACAGUUUGCAGUCAAUGGGUUGCAAGGGUUUAUUUAUAGGUUUGAUUUAGUAUGUUUCCAUUAUUUAAGGAAUCCUGUAGCAGGGCGCUGUUUUAAAAAUGGAUGGUAAUGAAGGAUGUUUAUUUAGUCCAGGAGGUGAACAGACAAAAAUCAAGAAACAUCUUUACCAUCAGGCUUCAAGCAAGACAGACAGACAGACACACACGCUCACACACACACACAGACACACAUGCACUCGCUCAUGCAUGUUGUAAUGUGUAUAUUAUAACAUAAUACUCAUACACACUCACACAUUUUUCUCUUACUGGUUUAACUGAAAAUAUACAAGAACCACACUAGAAAAAAGCAUUCAUAUAUUGUUUUUCAUGAAUUACGCUUAAUAAAUUGCAGAUAAAAUUAAGUAAAAUGAUUUAAAUUUUUGAAUUCAACAGGUGGUGCAGGAAUGGUGCAUAUUCAGCUCCAAGAAAAGCAACCAACGAGUGAAAGAAACAGAGGCAAGAUGCUAAAUUAAAUACUCAUUCAUUCCUGGCGUGCACCCACAUGAGCUCUUUCACAAAAGCUCAGCGCACCCACAACAAUGAGGCUCCCGCCCAUGCAACACGCCACUGACAGAGAAAACAAAACAGUACAGGAAGAAAGUGAAGGUACCUGCUGGUGGACACUGGCGAGCUCUGAGUUAAGGACGCUGAUGGUGUGUGUGUGUUUCUGCACCUCCUCCUUCUCCUUGGCCAGCCGGGAGUUCAAGUAAGCCCGCUCCUCCCCGAGUGCCGCCUUCUCCUUUUCAAGCUCUGAUAUCAGACGACUUUUGCGACUGGUCUCCUCUUGCGCAGUCUCCAGCUGUGGAAUGGAUGAGACACACCUGGGUCUUCAAGGACUGCCGCGUCUUCUCAAGGGUGUUCUUCUCUGCGGAGAUGGCAUCAAGGUCUUCUGUGAGGCGAUCCUUCUCCCUGGCCACCUCCUCCCUCUGGCGAGUGACGGCCUCCAG